rnacentral:lncRNA from 1 species
GAUUUUGCUCAUUGUUUUUAUUAAAACUUCAGCACUACAUUUCCAUAUACUGUUAUUUGAUUCUUUGGUGUUUUCUUUUUUUGGGUUAUUUGUUUUAAUCAUUUCUCUUGUCAUUUUAUCAGUGGUAUCAUAUGACAAACCAAGAAGAGGAAUAUGAAUUGAGGAAUGCGAGAAACAAACACUCCAUAAAAUAUGAUAGUACUGAGAAUUGAAGAAUAAAGAAGAGAAGAGGAAUGUGAAACAACAAAAAUGAGUUAAAUGUGACUUCACAGUGUUAGUUAGGUUGAUGUUGAGAUGAAAAAAUAUUUACACGUGUCCAAAUAUGACUCAUCACCAGCAC